CAGCCGUAAACUAUGCGCGUUAGGUGUAUCGGUGACCACGAGUUACCGAGGUGCCGAAGGGAAACCGUGAAACGUGCCGCCUGGGAAGUACGGUCGCAAGGCUGAAACUUAAAGGAAUUGGCGGGGGAGCACCACAACAGGUGGAGCCUGCGGUUUAAUUGGACUCAACGCCGGAAAUCUCACCGGAUAGGACAGACAUAUGAUAGUCGGGCUGAAGACUCUACUUGAUGAUCUGAGAGGUGGUGCAUGGCGUCAGUG
rnacentral:rRNA from 1 species